rnacentral:rRNA from 1 species
GACGAACGCUGGCGGCGUGCCUAAUACAUGCAAGUAGAACGCUGAAGGAGGAGCUUGCUUCUCUGGAUGAGUUGCGAACGGGUGAGUAACGCGUAGGUAACCUGCCUGGUAGCGGGGGAUAACUAUUGGAAACGAUAGCUAAUACCGCAUAAGAGUAGAUGUCGCAUGACAUUUGCUUAAAAGGUGCAAUUGCAUCACUACCAGAUGGACCUGCGUUGUACUAGCUAGUUGGUGAGGUAACGGCUCACCAAGGCAACGAUACAUAGCCGACCUGAGAGGGUGAUCGGCCACACUGGGACUGAGAAACGGCCCAGACUCCUACGGGAGGCAGCAGUAGGGAAUCUUCGGCAAUAGACGGAAGUCUGACCGAGCAACGCCGCGUGAGUGAAGAAGGUUUUCGGAUCGUAAAGCUCUGUUGUAAGAGAAGAACGAGUGUGAGAGUGGAAAGUUCACACUGUGACGGUAUCUUACCAGAAAGGGACGGCUAACUACGUG